GGGAAAGACACAGCCCACGCCUUUCAAUUUUCAUUUAGAAUCCAAUUUUAUUUAAAGAAGUAAUUAUGGCCAGGUGCAGCGGCUCACAUCUGUAAUCCCAGCGCUUUGGGAGGCUGAGGUGGGCGCAUCAAGAGGUCAGGAGAUCGAGACCAUCCUGGCUAACAUGGUGAAACCCCCGUCUUUACUAAAAAUACAAAAAAAUUAGCCGAGCAUGGUGGCGGGCGCCUGUAGUCCCAGCUACUCAGGAAGCUGAGGCAGGAGAAUGGCAUGAACCCGGGAGGCGGAGCUUUCAGUGAACCGAGAUCACACCACUGCACUCCAGCCUGGGUGACAGAGCGAGACUCCAUCUCAAAAAAAAAAAAAAAAAAAAAAAAAAAAAAAAAAAAAAAAAAAAAAGAAGCAAUUACGAAAAUAAGAAAACAACCCCCUGCCCUCAGAGCCAUAACCAUGUGAUUCUUCACAUUCAAACUUCCUCUAGUAUCUUCUAUAUCUAGAAAGUUUCCAAGACUUAAAAGGAGGGUUGAUUUAAAAAAAUAGUAUCUGGGAACUUCUCUGAAAAUCGUAAUAAAAAUGCACAGCCCUCCACUCUUCCUAACAAUCAACAGCGGUCAUAUCAGGAAAAGUGAUUUGAGGACAGUGAACCCACUUCCCAGAGAAACAAACCAUGACUGGUAAAACGAAUUUUUAAAAAGUGUGCUUUAAAGUCUUUGGAAACAUCCUACAGGAAUAUAGCAACUGAAAAGUGUCUCCUCAGGAAAGUCUACCAGGUCUCUGUAGAGCUAAGAAGGGCGUGUGGACCUCCCAGCCCUGCUCAGCAGGACACAGCUCCACUCUGGGCGGCCGCAGGGUCAGGAGGAGGCUCCCUCUCCUCAUGGUCUUUCGGGUCCUGGUGAUUUUCUGGGAGGAGCAGGGCACCAGCUUCCUUACUCCCCCUGGCUGGAUGUCCCUGAGCUAAGUCCCAGGCGACUUCCAUCGCAGGAUGCAGCUCUUUCCCUCAGCCAGCCCCGCUUUGUAGGGCAGAAGCUCCUCCCAGGCUGAGGGCUGAGCUUCCUAGGCAGGUGGCCCUGACCCAGCUUGCUGGUGGGUUUCACACUGAUAGCAGCAAGCCCAGAAGACCAGAGAUGGCUUUGACACCAGGCACCCAGCUUUUGAGGCAGGGCACCCCUGACAGACAGUCCCCCUUGUCUUCACCCCAUCCCAGAUCCAAGUCAGUGGUUCAGAUUUUGCCCAGGGAGAGGCAGGCAGUAAGAACCGAGGCUCCAGAACUCUCUGGGAGAGCUGACUGUAUUUAGAACAGACAGUUGGAACGUUCAGGCCGGGCAGCAUUCCCCAUCACAAUGGAGAUGGUGGUGGCGAGCAAUUAGGAGGGCACAGAGAACUCUGUGACAGCAGCAAUGUCACCUUCAGGCCAGCUAAUUCGCAAGGAGAACACGCUCUGUCAAUCACCCUGCGUAAGCUCUGCCCUGCGUCCUGUUUUCUGAGUGUUAGAGGCACCGCAGGACCACUGGAUUCCUGGUGCUGCUGUGAUUUGCAACCACACGGAGCCUGUUGACAUCCUCCACAUCCUCUCCUUUCUCAGCUUAGGAGAGUCUCUCUCUGGGUCUUCUGAACUCAAUGUUACGAAUGAGGACUAUAAAAUGGAAGGAACGGGGGCAAUAAUCUCAUGAAAGUUAUCAUCGGGAAUCCGAGUGCUGUUAUGGAUGGUACAAGUGGCCAACCUUUACAGUAAAAUAUUCCUGUUCUUGAAAAUAAAUGUUAAGGAGUCUGCUUGAAAUACUAAUUAUAUUACUUAAUAAACAGUCUUUUAAAUAA